GGGGAGCUGGUGUCCUGGGCGGGGUUGUUAAUCUCUGCUUGGCUUGUUUGGGGUUUUCCGGGGGGGACCCUUCCCCCACCUGGCUCUACCCUGGGUCUGGAGAGGUCUUUGGGGUGGACAGAUAGACAGACAGCUCUCCUGGACAGAUCACAUUUGUCCCUGGGGUGGCGCUGGCCAUGCUGUGCGCUGCCGCCAGGAACAGACCCUCAGAGGCAGCAGGUGUGUCCCAGGGCCUCCUCUGCGGGCUCGCUGAUGACGCGCAGCUGUG